rnacentral:rRNA from 1 species
UACGUAGGGUGCAAGCGUUAAUCGGAAUUACUGGGCGUAAAGCGUGCGCAGGCGGUGAUGUAAGACAGAUGUGAAAUCCCCGGGCUCAACCUGGGAACUGCAUUUGUGACUGCAUCGCUGGAGUGCGGCAGAGGGGGAUGGAAUUCCGCGUGUAGCAGUGAAAUGCGUAGAUAUGCGGAGGAACACCGAUGGCGAAGGCAAUCCCCUGGGCCUGCACUGACGCUCAUGCACGAAGCGU